rnacentral:misc_RNA from 1 species
CGAUUCUUUGUUCCAGAGGGUACUAAAAAGUAAUUUCACAUUCUCUCUCCGCUCUGCUCUCUCUACAAAGCCCUCUCUUCUCUAAAACUCACCAUCGCGGCUUUUCCUUCUCUCCUCUAGAAAUUUUCUUUGCUAGGGUUUCGUACGAGAGAGACACGAAGAUCAUAAAUGCAGCCUCGUUCACUGUAGAGAGAGAGGACCAUACCAUUGGCAACAUUCUUCGCAUGUAUUUAUUAAUU